GAUGGAGGCUGGAGCGGGGAGGCCAUGAGACAGCAGAGCACUGGUAAACACCAUGCAGAAAAGCCGUAUUGUGGGGUUACAAAGUCUGGGCUGUUUAAGGAGCUCUGUCAUUCCUUUUAAUGGAGCUCACUGACGCAGGUCUGGGUUCUGCCAGCCGAGGAAAUACUGCUGCUGAGAAAAGGGUUAUUGAAACCCACAAACUAAAUAUUAUAAGCAAGAAUCAAAUGGCAGGACAUUCUGGAGUGUAAUCCCUCCUGAUUUCAGGAGAAGGGGAAUGUAUUGGCAUGGAAUGAAGCUCCCUCCAGUCACCUGCCGCAAGACACAUUAUCCAGCUUCCUAACCUUAAGGAUGAGACCCUAUCAAUAUUGCCUCUGCUUUUGUGAUCAGGGUAGUAGUGCAAUAUUGCUUAUAGGGUCUUUUCUUUUGAGGGUUAUUCUUCAUGGAGAGAAGAAAGCCACAUCAGGAAAAACUAAUCCUAUGUGCCCACCGAGUUAAGGGAAAAGUUGUGAAAUGCUGAGCGUUGUUAGAUAGGCGAGUAAUUGUGCAGAGAUGUUAUUUGUGACAAAUAAUCGUGCUAUUCUGGUGACUCAGGUUGUGAGUAAUGGGUAUGUUUCUGAUGCUAUCGCACAGGAUUCAAAACGGCCUCGUGUUUUAAACACAUAAGCAGUGAUUGAAACCAGAGAAACCCAUCAGGGCUCCUUUUCAAAAUACUAUGAGUCCCGAGACAUUUGAAGGGUGCCUAUAUUACAUACUGAUGUAAACACCCACCAAGGGAUGGGAGGAGAUACAUUGCCAUACUUGCUGUUUCCGUGCCUGAUCCCAGCCCGAAAACGAGUGCGAUGCGAAGCAGAGCACAGCACAAAGAGGCCGAGGCUCUAAUCUCA